rnacentral:rRNA from 1 species
GACGAACGCUGGCGGCGUGCCUAACACAUGCAAGUCGAACGGAAAGGCCCUGCUGUUGUUGGGUGCUCGAUUGGCGAACGGGUGAGUAACACGUGAGUAACCUGCCCUUGCCUUUGGGAUAACUUCUGGUAACUGGGGCUAAUACCGGCUAGGAGCUCCUGCUGCUUGGUGUGGGUUGGAAAGUUUCGGCGGUUUGGGAUGGACUCGCGGCUUAUCAGCUAUUUGGUGGGGUAGUGGCUUGCCAAGGCUUUGACGGGUAGCCGACCUGAGAGGGGGACCGGGCACAAUGGACCUGAGAUACGGCGCAGAGUGCAACGGGAGGCAGCGGGGGAAAGUAUUGCGCAGUAGGCGGAAGCCUGAUACAGCGGCGCCGCGUUCGGAAUGACGGCUUUCGGGGUAGAAACCGCUUUAGCCUGUAACGAAGAGUGAGUGACGGUAACGGAUAAAGAAGCACCGGCUAACUACGUG